AUAUAAAUGUGUGUGUAUGUAUAUAUAUGAGUUUUCCUGGAGUGCUGGUUAUCUAAGCCUGUGCUGGGGACAGGUUUUUGGGAAGUCUGCUACAUCCCAGUUAGAUCUUCUAGAUUUCACGGGAAUGUCACCAGGUUCUGUUCCAUCCACUUGGACAGUAACUAUUCUUGGACCGAGUCUUGACACCUAGAGGUGAAGUUUAUGUGUGUUGGAGAGGAACCCAGGUAAGGCGCUUUCCCCCAUGACUGAGAUAUGAGGGGCUCGUGUCAGGGUACGUACUGAACAGAGCUGGAUUCUCUUUUCUCUUUUGUCCAGCACAACACCAUGGAGUCUCUGUUAGAGCGAGGUGAGAAGCUAGAUGACUUGGUGUCCAAAUCCGAGGUGCUGGGAACGCAGUCUAAAGCCUUCUAUAAAACUGCCCGGAAACAAAACUCAUGCUGUGCCAUCAUGUGAUGCAGCCUGCCAGAGGCCCAAUGCUGGAACGGCACCAUCAUUCACAUCAGAACUGCAGCCCCUGGAAAAGAAGAGACAGCCAUAGACGAGGAGCCACAGUGGGGGCAGACUGGCCAUUUUUAUUUUGAAGUUCCUGGGAGAAACGGAUGGUGGAAGGGUGGUGAAUGUUGAAAUUCAUAUGUGUGGUAGUGAUUCUUGGAAAGAAUUUGAGGUCCCCAAAGGUGUAUUUUUGGGCAAAUGAAACCAUAAACUCCGACUGGCUUCUGUAGAUGCCAAAGGGCUCUUUUUCAGCUAACCCUGGGAAGGCUCUGUAGGAGGGAGGUCGGAGCCAGCUGUUUCUCGAUCUUUGGUAUAUCUUUGGAUUUUAUUUGUACAUUAAUGAUAUUAACACUCCAGUGGGGGGUGGGGAGUCCCUGAUGCUAGGGCUGGGGUGGGUGGAGUUUGAAGACUCUUGGGAAAGCCUCUCCUGGGGCCACUGUUGGGGGUAGGAGUGAGCCCACCACAGUGGCCACAGGCAGGCCCCCACUUCAGGCCCAAGGCCUGGGGCGGGGGGAACAGUCACUGGGUCUCAGAUUCUGAGCCUGUUGUUUAGCUACCUUUCUGCUAGGAUUGGCUUCCCACAGAGGGCAGGGCCCAUCCUAAGCAGCUUCCAAGUCCCACAAAGGUGGCUUGUGGGAGGAUUUGGAAGGAGCUGCAUUGUGGGCGGGGAGUGUGUGGAUUGAGGUCGUACCAGCAAGUAGACUAGGAACUGAGCCCAGGAAAGGGGGAUGUUUUCCUGGUGUUUGGGUGGUCAGCUGGGAGUGUCUAUUGUCAGGGGAAGAUCAAACACAGGUGCACUCAGCUGCCCAGGGCCUCUGGGACACUUGCCUUGACUUGCAACUUGCCUUGAACAUCACGAUCAAAGCAGCAGGUGCUGUGGUCUCUCAAAACUGAUUUUUAUUUGCCUCUCUGGCUGCGAGACUGCCUUGAACCGCCUGAGGCCUAUGCAUCUGAACAAGUGGGUCUCUCCCAUGAGCACCAGGAGUGGAUGCCAGCCGGCCCCGAGGAUUCUCAACACCCUACCUAUGGUCUGGCCAGCAUAGGCUUGCUAGUUCCUUCUUGGUCAGAGGCAGCUGCAUGGGGGAGGGAGGCCAAGGGUUUGGUCUAAGCUGUGCCCUGCCACCUGGCAGGAGGCCCACUCACAGCCCAAGUCAUGGAAACAGGCUGGAGCAGCCCAGGAGAUGGGCCCAAGAUGUUCUGGGUCCCUUCGGUCCUAGUGUUAUGUUCCAGUCUGCUCACCUGUGCUCAGGAUGCAUCCCUGGGAUCCAGCACCCAUGGAAGCUCCUGCUGGGAUGGUGUCAUCUAUGAGUUUUGAACCAGUGUGGUAUGGUCCUUGGGAGCUCUGCUCUGAGCUUGCCACACUGCUGAGAGCGCCCACUGUCCUGACCAGAGUCUCAGUGGUCCUGACCCCCAAUGUGGGCAGGGGCUGGGCAGGAGGGUGGGGUCUGCCAUGGGUUCAGAGGACCCCACCUCCUGGCUGGUUUACCUGCUGCUGCCCAUUUCCUCUGGGUACUGCUGGCCAGAGGACUUUAGCCUACCCCUGAAGAGCCUGUCCAUGUCAUUUUCCUACUGCCAUAGACACCCUAAGCCCAGGGCCCCUCGAGGCCCAGACUCAGCCUGCCCACUGGUGCCGGAGACGGAGUGGAGUGGGCCUGGAUCUGAGGGAUGCUACCUCUCCCUUUCCCACUUGACCCUGGGGAGAGAUGGGGGCGGGGAAAAUGGAGGUAUGAAUUUGGGGUAAGAGGAAGUGAGAUCUCCACUUGCAGGUCAGCCCCUGCCUUGCAGGGUGGGCUGGCUUGACUCAGGCCCUGUGAGACAGAGGGCCCAGCCCGGCCCCGCCCACAGAUCCCCUGCUCCUGUUGUGUUCUGUUGUAAAUCAUUUGGUAAGACUGUAUUUUAGUAACUGCUGCCUAACUUCCCUGUGUUCUAUUUGAGAGGCGCCUGUCUGGAUAAAGUUGUCUUGAAAUUU
rnacentral:sRNA from 1 species